AAUUAUCUUCCGUUCCAUUCCUAAUUGGAUUACGAAAUUCCUUCGUUAUCAGACGUGUUUACUUUCUGUAGCAGACAAAUGGAUGUUGUAGAGGAAACUGGCGGGCUGAUAAGGGAGUCCAUAAUAACAAUCUGCGAAUUAAGUGACUAUGCACAGGGACUUGAUGAAAAAGACAAACGACAGUGACUGGAAGCAUGAAACAAAUUUAGUCUUUAUACAAUAGACAACCGCCAGUUACAGCAACUUGGUCUCCGCGAGACGGUCUCGAAGGGUCGAGACCGUCACCCGUACAUCCCAGUGGGACUAUCCCGGCCCUCUGAUUGGCUCUCUUCACCCUUACAUCCUUCUAUGUCUUUCUGCUUUCCGCUCCCACAUUUUCCUGAUGUACACAGUGUGGUUUUCCGUGGGGCUGCCGCUUUGAUUUGUUUGUUUCUUUCGUGUAUUUUUAUUAUUUACAUUUAUUGUUUGUUCUUU